UAGCCUUUCGAAAGAAAGAUUAAUACCCGAUAGCAUAGUAUUUCCGCAUGGUUUCACUAUUAAAGAAUUUCGGUUAUCGAUGGGGAUGCGUUCCAUUAGAUAGUUGGCGGGGUAACGGCCCACCAAGUCAACGAUGGAUAGGGGUUCUGAGAGGAAGGUCCCCCACAUUGGAACUGAGACACGGUCCAAACUCCUACGGGAGGCAGCAGUGAGGAAUAUUGGUCAAUGGACGAGAGUCUGAACCAGCCAAGUAGCGUGAAGGAUGACUGCCCUAUGGGUUGUAAACUUCUUUUAUACGGGAAUAAAGUGGAGUAUGCAUACUCCUUUGUAUGUACCGUAUGAAUAAGGAUCGGCUAACUCCGUGCCAGCAGCCGCGGUAAUACGGAGGAUCCGAGCGUUAUCCGGAUUUAUUGGGUUUAAAGGGAGCGUAGGCGGGUGCUUAAGUCAGUUGUGAAAGUUUGCGGCUCAACCGUAAAAUUGCAGUUGAUACUGGGCGCCUUGAGUGCAGCAUAGGUAGGCGGAAUUCGUGGUGUAGCGGUGAAAUGCUUAGAUAUCACGAAGAACUCCGAUUGCGAAGGCAGCUUACUGGACUGUAACUGACGCUGAUGCUCGAAAGUGUGGGUAUCAAACAGGAUUAGAUACCCUGGUAGUCCACACAGU
rnacentral:rRNA from 1 species